UUGAACGCUGGCGGCAUGCUUUACACAUGCAAGUCGAACGGCAGCGGGGGCUUCGGCCUGCCGGCGAGUGGCGAACGGGUGAGUAAUGCAUCGGAACGUACCCAGUCGUGGGGGAUAACUACGCGAAAGCGUAGCUAAUACCGCAUACGCCCUGAGGGGGAAAGCGGGGGACCUUCGGGCCUCGCGCGAUUGGAGCGGCUGAUGUCGGAUUAGCUGGUUGGUGGGGUAAAGGCCUACCAAGGCGACGAUCCGUAGCUGGUCUGAGAGGAUGAUCAGCCACACUGGGACUGAGACACGGCCCAGACUCCUACGGGAGGCAGCAGUGGGGAAUUUUGGACAAUGGGCGCAAGCCUGAUCCAGCCAUGCCGCGUGAGUGAAGAAGGCCUUCGGGUUGUAAAGCUCUUUCGGCCGGGAAGAAAUCGUGGUCUCUAACAUAGGCCAUGGAUGACGGUACCGGACUAAGAAGCACCGGCUAACUACGU
rnacentral:rRNA from 1 species